rnacentral:rRNA from 1 species
UGGGGAAUCUUGGACAAUGGGGGCAACCCUGAUCCAGCCAUGCCGCGUGAGCGAUGAAGGCCUUAGGGUUGUAAAGCUCUUUCAGCGGGGAAGAUAAUGACGGUACCCGCAGAAGAAGCCCCGGCUAACUCCGUGCCAGCAGCCGCGGUAAUACGGAGGGGGCUAGCGUUGUUCGGAAUUACUGGGCGUAAAGGGCGCGUAGGCGGGCGCAUAAGUCGGGGGUGAAAUCCCGGGGCUCAACCCCGGAACUGCCUCCGAUACUGUGUGUCUUGAGGACGGGAGAGGUGAGUGGAAUUCCGAGUGUAGAGGUGAAAUUCGUAGAUAUUCGGAGGAACACCGGUGGCGAAGGCGGCUCACUGGCCCGAUCCUGACGCUGAGGCGCGAAAGCGUGGGGAGCAAA